rnacentral:rRNA from 1 species
UACGUAGGCAGCGAGCGUUGUUCGGAGUUACUGGGCGUAAAGCGUGCGUAGGCGGUUUUGUAAGUUUGGUGUGAAAUCUCCCGGCUCAACUGGGAGGGUGCGCCGAAAACUGCAAGGCUGGAGUGUGGGAGAGGUAGGCGGAAUUCCUGGUGUAGCGGUGAAAUGCGUAGAUAUCUGCAGGAACACCCGUGGCGAAAGCGGCGCGCUGGACCACUACUGACGCUGAGGAACGAAAGCUAGGGGAGCAAACAGG